GAUGAACGCUGGCGGCGUGCUUAACACAUGCAAGUCGAACGAAGCACCUUAUUCUGAUUUCUUCGGAAUGAAAAAUUUGGUGACUGAGUGGCGGACGGGUGAGUAACGCGUGGGUAACCUGCCCCAUACAGGGGGAUAACAGUUAGAAAUGACUGCUAAUACCGCAUAAGACCACAGCACCGCAUGGUGCAGGGGUAAAAACUCCGGUGGUAUGAGAUGGACCCGCGUCUGAUUAGGUAGGUGGUGGGGUAACGGCCUACAAAGCCGACGAUCAGUAGCCGGCCUGGGAGGGUGACCGGCCACAUUGGGACUGAGACACGGCCCAAACUCCUACGGGAGGCAGCAGUGGGGAAUAUUGCACAAUGGGGGAAACCCUGAUGCAGCGACGCCGCGUGAGCGAUGAAGUAUUUCGGUAUGUAAAGCUCUAUCAGCAGGGAAGAAAAUGACGGUACCUGACUAAGAAGCACCGGCUAAAUACGUGCCAGCAGCCGCCGUAA
rnacentral:rRNA from 1 species